rnacentral:tRNA from 1 species
UGGCUCAGAGGUUAAAGCGUCUGCCUCCAAUGCAGUAGACCUGGGUUCAAUCCCUG